CCACGUGUAGCGGUGAAAUGCGUAGAGAUGUGGAGGAACACCAGUGGCGAAGGCGGCUUUCUGGUCUGUAACUGACGCUGAGGCGCGAAAGCAUGGGGAGCAAACAGGAUUAGAUACCCUGGUAGUCCAUGCCGUAAACGAUGAGUGCUAAGUGUUAGGGGGUUUCCGCCCCUUAGUGCUGGAGCAAACGCAUUAAGCACUCCGCCUGGGGAGUACGGCCGCAAGGCUGAAACUCAAAGGAAUUGACGGGGACCCGCACAAGCGGUGGAGCAUGUGGUUUAAUUCGAAGCUACGCGAAGAACCUUACCAGGUCUUGACAUCCUGCUGACCGGUAUAGAGAUAUACCUUUCCCUUCGGGGACAGCGGUGACAGGUGGUGCAUGGUUGUCGUCAGCUCGUGUCGUGAGAUGUUGGGUUAAGUCCCGUAACGAGCGCAACCCUUGACCUUAGUUGCCAGCAUUCAGUUGGGCACUCUAAGGUGACUGCCGGUGACAAACCGGAGGAAGGUGGGGAUGACGUCAAAUCAUCAUGCCCCUUAUGACCUGGGCUACACACGUGCUACAAUGGACGGUACAGAGGGUUGCCAACCCGCGAGGGGGAGCUAAUCCCAUAAAACCGUUCCCAGUUCGGAUUGCAGGCUGCAACUCGCCUGCAUGAAGCAGGAAUCGCUAGUAAUCGUGGAUCAGCAUGCCACGGUGAAUACGUUCCCGGGUCUUGUACACACCGCCCGUCACACCACGAGAGUUUGUAACACCCGAAGUCGGUGGGGUAACCC
rnacentral:rRNA from 1 species